UACGUAGGGGGCAAGCGUUGUCCGGAUUUACUGGGCGGAAAGAGCGCGUAGGCGGUAGGUUAAGCGUGGUUUGAAAGCCCCCGGCUCAACCGGGGAGGGCGGCUGCGAACUGGCUUUCUUGAGGUCGAUAGAGGAGAGCGGAAUUCCUGGUGUAGCGGUGAAAUGCGUAGAGAUCGGGAGGAACACCAGAAGCGAAGGCGGCGACCUGGACAGGCACUGACACUCAACUACGAAAGCGUGGGGAGCAAACAGG
rnacentral:rRNA from 1 species